rnacentral:rRNA from 1 species
GACGAACGCUGGCGGCGUGCUUAACACAUGCAAGUCGAACGGAAAGGCCUGCUUUCCCUUGUGGAUUGCGGGUACUCGAGUGGCGAACGGGUGAGUAACACGUGAGUGAUCUGCCCCCAACUUGGGUAUAAGCCUGGGAAACUGGGUCUAAUUCCCGAUAGGACUGCAGGGUGGUGCCUGUGGUGGAAAACGAUUUUCUAGUGGUUGGGGAUGAGCUCGCGGCCUAUCAGCUUGUUGGUGGGGUAAUGGCCUACCAAGGCGGCGACGGGUAGCCGGCCUGAGAGGGUGGACGGCCACAUUGGGACUGAGAUACGGCCCAGACUCCUACGGGAAGCAGCAGUGGGGAAUAUUACACAAUGGGCGGAAGCCUGAUGCAGCGACGCCGCGUGGGGGAUGACGGCCUUCGGGUUGUAAACUCCUUUCGACCGCGAGGAAGCCACCUGGUUGGAAGGGUGGUGACGGUAGUGGUAGAAGAAGCACCGGCUAACUACGUG